UACGGGGGGAGCAAGCGUUGUUCGGAUUUACUGGGCGUAAAGGGCGCGUAGGCGGUCGGGACAAGUCACUUGUGAAAUCUCCGGGCUUAACUCGGAACGGUCAAGUGAUACUGUCGGACUAGAGUACAGAAGGGGCAACUGGAAUUCUCGGUGUAGCGGUGAAAUGCGUAGAUAUCGAGAGGAACACCUGCGGCGAAGGCGGGUUGCUGGGCUGAUACUGACGCUGAGGCGCGAAAGCCAGGGGAGCGAACGGG
rnacentral:rRNA from 1 species